CCGAGUAUGCCCUUCGGGGCGGAUCUCCAACCCUCUGUAUACUACAAUUGUCCUGUUGCUUUGGCGGGCCCGCGCAAAGCUGCCGGCUUCGGCUGGUUAGUGCCCGCCAGAGGAAACUAAACCCUAAACAAUUUAUGUUUCGUCUGAAAAAAAUAUUAAAUAUUUAAA
rnacentral:misc_RNA from 1 species